AAACUGAAGUUCUUUUUUCUGGAAGUCAAAGAAGGGCUACCCUGAUCGGUGGCUAGCCCUAAGCCGCCGUGUCCUUGCUGGCUCCGUCCGUGGUGCUGCGGUGGCUGGACGCUGGACCAGCAGCACCUUUGGAAGGUUUCAGAAUCUGAGCUUUUUUUCUUGGAAUAUGUGGGCAAUCUUGGGAUGCUCAUAAUCUUCUUAUUGAUUACUGGCUGCCAACUGGAUAUCCUUAUGAUGCUCCUUGUAGGAGCUCCCUAGUUUGACUAGCAGUUUCAGUAAAGGAAGGCAGAUAUAAUGAAUGGGAGAGGGAGAUCCAGGAGCUCUGGGAGACUUUGCUGGGGCUGUAUCAGAGGUUUUAGAAGCCUGGGAGCAUAGGACCCGUCCGAUUUAGCGGCUGGUGUCCAUCCCACACCAAGAACAAAACCAACCCUAACCUAAACGCAUUUCCCCUCCCUGCUCCUCUGCUCCCACCCCUCCAAGGCGGCGCCGGCGCCUCCAUGGCCGCGACGCAGCCUAGCUCGCCGGAGCGCGCGUGCCUCGCUACCACGGUGCGCGCCGCUCCGUCCAACUAGCCUCGCCGCCAAGCGCACCACGGACCGGACGUCGGCGCCCCCCGACCGGAGAUGGAGACUGCGUCCGCCAAGUUCUUCUUCGCGCCGGCGGCCUUGAGAUCCGCACCCCCGUCCCCGGGAUGCGUCCUCGACGUCUACUCCGACCAGGCUCGCGCGGAACCAGGAACAAUCAAGUGCUGGGACUGGGAGGAGGGAGAAUUCAAAAACAACUCUUUGCUCAACAGCCGGACCUCUGCUCUGCGAUGGAGCUCCCUAGUUUGACUAGCAGUUUCAGUAAAGGAAGGCAGAUAUAAUGAAUGGGAGAGGGAGAUCCAGGAGCUCUGGGAGACUUUGCUGGGGCUGUAUCAGAGGUUUUAGAAGCCUGGGAGCAUAGGACCCGUCCGAUUUAGCGGCUGGUGUCCAUCCCACACCAAGAACAAAACCAACCCUAACCUAAACGCAUUUCCCCUCCCUGCUCCUCUGCUCCCACCCCUCCAAGGCGGCGCCGGCGCCUCCAUGGCCGCGACGCAGCCUAGCUCGCCGGAGCGCGCGUGCCUCGCUACCACGGGUGCGCGCCGCUCCGUCCAACUAGCCUCGCCGCCAAGCGCACCACGGACCGGACGUCGGCGCCCCCCGACCGGAGAUGGAGACUGCGUCCGCCAAGUUCUUCUUCGCGCCGGCGGCCUUGAGAUCCGCACCCCCGUCCCCGGGAUGCGUCCUCGACGUCUACUCCGACCAGGCUCGCGCGGAACCAGGAACAAUCAAGUGCUGGGACUGGGAGGAGGGAGAAUUCAAAAACAACUCUUUGCUCAACAGCCGGACCUCUGCUCUGCGAUGUGGGAACACCUGUAAGGUUUUAUCGCUGGCUAGAGAGAAGGACCUUCCUUUGAAGAAUGCGAGGCAUUUCAUUCUUGAUGGGUGUGACAAGAUGCUAGAGUCACUUUGAGCUCCCUAGUUUGACUAGCAGUUUCAAUAAAGUAAGCUAGAUAUAAUAAAUGGGAGAGGGAGAUCCAGGAGCUCUGGGAGACAUAGCUGGGGCUAGAUCAGAGGUUUUAGAAGCCUUGGAGCAUAGGACACUGUUGUCCCCGUUGAGAGCUUAUUCCCAUGCUCUCAUAGUUGCAUUUCGACUACUUCCUGCUUCUCAUUUGUCCUCAUUGCACUGUUUUGGAGCUCCCUAGUUUAACUAGAAGUUUCAGUGAAGGAAGCCAGAUAUAAUGAAGGGGAGAGGAAGAUCCAGUAGCUCUGGGAGACAUUGUUGGAGUUGGAUCAGAGGCAAGACUACCCUGAUCGGUGGCUAACCCUAAGCUGCCGUGACCUUUCCGGCUCUGUCCGUGGCGUUGCGCUGGCUGGACACUGGACCAACAGCAGACCUUUGGAUGGCUUAUGAUGUGUAGGUUUUAGAAGCCUCGGAGCAUAGGACACUGCUGUCCCUGUUGAGAGCUUCUUCACAUGCUUUGGUCAUUGCAUUUCGACUACUUCCUGCUUCUCCUUUGCCCUUAUUGUACUGUUUUGGGAGAAGAGAACCAGCGGGAGCGUCCUCAUGCUGCUAUUUCAUUGGUGUGUGAUGUGCAAACUAGGGGCGCAAUAUCUGCUUACGGUUACAACGUAUGAGCAGCCAAGUUUUCAGAUUUUAACGAACACUGGCAUGCGUUGUGUGUAACGGUCUCGGGAUUGAUUGCAGAAACUCGUGUGUCAGUGCAUCAGCUUGCCUUGAUGCUUGUUAUUCAGUGUCGUGUGGUUUCUUUCACUUGGGUCGUAUAUUUCAGUGCCACCUGAGUUUUGUUUUAUUUUCAUUUUCUGUAAAGUGAUUGUUGUGUGAUCUAAAUGUCAAAAAACAAGUAAGGUCUUGCCGAAA